CAGAGGGUCCAAACACUGCAGCUGACUUCUGAUUCACCAGAGACAGCCUUACAGGAGAAAUGGUCAGAUAGCAAAUAUUGCCAUUCUUCUGGAAAACUGCUGGUCUUUAAAGAACAGUCAUCAAUCAGGAUCCUCUGUUCCCAGACCCAACCAUUCAUCUGAAGGACUGUGAAAAUAUGAACCCUUUGAACCACCGGUGACAACUUCUACAUGAUAAAUAGAAAGGACAUGACAGAGGAUGAUAUGGGUAUUGAUAUUUCACUGAAAUUAAAUAUCAUUUAAUUACAUUUAGUCUGCUAGUCAGAAUUAUAGCUUAUUAAAUAAAAAUAAAUAGUGGUUCAUGUUUGAUUUGGGAUAGUGGUUCACGAGUCCUUUGUCCUGAACAGUUUAAAUGGCUGCUUUUCUUCAGAAAAACCUCCAGAUCCUUCACUUUCUCAGGUUUUCCAGCAUCUUUUGCAUAUUUGAACCCU